CCUAGGGUGCUGGGAUUUGGGGGGCGCCAUUUUCUUCAUCAGCGACCGCUGCGGCCGGAUCUUAGGCUGCCCCGGUCACCGCUGGCAUUUAGAUGGAGGGAGCUGGGACAGGGAAGCACAGGGAG